GGAAUCUUCCACAAUGGACGGAAGUCUGAUGGAGCAACGCCGCGUGAGUGAAGAAGGUUUUAGGAUCGUAAAACUCUGUUGUUGGAGAAGAACAGGGACUAGAGUAACUGUUAGUCCUUUGACGGUAUCCAACCAGAAAGCCACGGCUAACUCCGUGCCAGCAGCCGCGGUAAUACGGAGGGUGCAAGCGUUAAUCGGAAUUACUGGGAGUAAAGCGCACGCAGGCGGUCUGUUAAGUCAGAUGUGAAAUCCCCGGGCUCAACCCGGGAACUGCAUUUGAAACUGGCAGGCUUGAGUCUCGUAGAGGGGGGAGAAUUCCAGGUGUAGCGGUGAAAUGCGUAGAGAUCUGGAGGAAUACCGGUGGCGAAGGCGGCCCCCUGGACGAAGACUGACGCUCAGGUGCGAAAGCGUGGGGAGCAAACA
rnacentral:rRNA from 1 species